rnacentral:rRNA from 1 species
GAUGAACGCUGGCGGCGUGCCUAAUACAUGCAAGUCGAGCGAACGGACGAGAAGCUUGCUUCUCUGAUGUUAGCGGCGGACGGGUGAGUAACACGUGGAUAACCUACCUAUAAGACUGGGAUAACUUCGGGAAACCGGAGCUAAUACCGGAUAAUAUUUUGAACCGCAUGGUUCAAAAGUGAAAGACGGUCUUGCUGUCACUUAUAGAUGGAUCCGCGCUGCAUUAGCUAGUUGGUAAGGUAACGGCUUACCAAGGCAACGAUGCAUAGCCGACCUGAGAGGGUGAUCGGCAACACUGGAACUGAGACACGGUCCAGACUCCUACGGGAGGCAGCAGUAGGGAAUCUUCCGCAAUGGGCGAAAGCCUGGCGGAGCAACGCCGCGUGAGUGAUGAAGGUCUUCGGAUCGUAAAACUCUGUUAUUAGGGAAGAACAUAUGUGUAAGUAACUGUGCACAUCUUGACGGUACCUAAUCAGAAAGCCACGGCUAACUACGUG